UUAGAGGCAAACGGGUGGAGCCGCAAUGCGUCGACCCGGGGGAUUCAACCAGGCCGUGCGUUCGGGACGCGCCGGGGCAACGCGGAGCUGUAAAGCCCGCGCUUCGGCGUGGUCUCCGGGCGGACUGGUGCACUUUCCUCGGGCCGAUGGCCACGACCGGCUCUCCGCGCGGCCAAAAGCCAAGCCGGGAAGGUGACCGCGGGCCUCGUCGCCUGCGGUGUUAUAGCCCGGCUUGCGUUGAGCUCGUGGGAGGGCCGAGGAAGCGUUGCCGUUCGUCGCCACCCUCCGGCCAUCCUUGCUCGUCACGACUGGGGCGGACUGCUCUGCCAGUGCUCUCCCGACCGCGAGCGUAGGAAGGGUCGGUACGGUGCGACGUGCUUCGGGCCAGUGGCGAAUCGGUCGGUCCUCCACCCGACCCGUCUUGAA
rnacentral:rRNA from 1 species